ACGUAGGAUGCGAGCGUUGUCCGGAAUUAUUGGGCGUAAAGAGAACGUAGGCGGUUUCUUAAGAUUGGUCUUAAAGACCGGGGCUUAACUCCGGGAAUGGAUCGAUAACUGGGAGACUGGAGGACGUCAGAGGAAAGUGGAAUUCCGAGUGUAGAGGUGAAAUUCGUAGAUAUUCGGAAGAACACCAGUGGCUAAGGCGACUCACUGGACACGUAUUGACGCUGAGGUGCGAAAGCGUGGGGAGCAAACAGGA
rnacentral:rRNA from 1 species